rnacentral:rRNA from 1 species
CCCUUAGACGUUCUGGGCCGCACGCGCGCUACACUGACGAAGGCAACGAGCUUUCCUUUACCGAAAGGUACGGGUAAUCUUUUGAAACUUCGUCGUGCUGGGGAUAGAUCCUUGCAAUUUUUGAUCUUAAACGAGGAAUUCCUAGUAAGCGCAAGUCAUCAACUUGCGUUGAUUACGUCCCUGCCAUUUGUACACACCGCCCGUCGCUACUACCGAUUGAAUGGUUUAGUGAGGCCUUCGGAUCCGCGACUCGUUUUGUGGAGAAGUUGGACAAACCCAGUCAUUUAGAGGAAGUAAAAGUCGUAACA